rnacentral:lncRNA from 1 species
UAUUUCUCUUUUCCCUUUCACAUUUCUCUUUCCCAGUGUAUCCUUCCCUUCUUCUUUCUCAUCCUCUUUCUAUUCUUCUUCUUCUUCUCAUUUUAAGUUACAAUUCCAUUUACAACUCAAACUCUAAUAAAGGAAUUUUAAGUCUAAAGCAAGAUUGUGUCUAGCUCUACAAUUACACGAUAGAAUUUUGGGAUUAAGGUUAUUGCUUCAUGGAAGGAGAAGAGUACCCAUCAUUGGAAAGUUGUUUAUUAAGACUCUUUGACAUUGGAUAAUUGGUACUUUGCUUGCUACUAUGGGAGCAGUUGGAGAGAAAAUGUGGUUGAUUCGACAUUGCAAUUUCCAAGCAGCUAAGUAGAGAGCUGCUGGUAGACUCAAAGUUCAGCCACGUCACUCUUUUUGGUAGGUUUCUUUGAUGGAUGUCUCUUUGUUCAUGUAUGUGUUAAGUCAGAGUAUCUGCAGCUGUUUGGAGUCUAUGAAUGUUUUAUUCUGAGAUGUACAAUUAUGUAAAUAUGUUAUUUUGAAAAUCUGGAUGAGAAUACAGGUUGACAAACAAGAUUAAAAUCUUGGAAAAUAUUGAAAAUACAGAGAAUACUUUGUCAAAAUUUCGGUAGAUAUUAUUUUGAAGUGAAAUUCAAAUUGGAAAUAGUCUAAAUUUUUGCGUGUCAAGUGUCGUCAAUAGGCUUGCCGAACUAGGAUGUUCUAGUUCGUGCGUCCGUCACGAUUUUGAGUUUUUGGGUCGUGAUAUUAACUAACAAUGUUAUUUUCUUUAUUAUAUUUGUUUUGGUCCUAGCUGCUGUUGAAAGGAUGGAUAGAUUCUGGUUAUACUGGUCCCGAAGAUGAGUUUGACUCAGACUCGUCAGACUCUUCAUCUGAUGAUGAGUCAGGAAGUGGGUUAAAAUUGUUAUGUUUUGUUCAUUCAUUUGCGGAUUAAUUGUUGACAUGGUUAUCUAGUUCUUACAAAAUAAAAAUUAGGCUAAAAUAUGCUUUUGGUCCCUACAAAUAUGGCGAAUUUGGGUUUUGGUCCCCAGUAAUUUUUUUUUUUGAAAUUCAUCCCUGCAAAAUUUUUUGUUUUUUAAAAUAGUCCUUGACUCCACUUUACUGAUGAUUUGGCGCAUUUUUGCCUACAUAGCAUUCGCUGACUGUUUAAUCAUGCACAUGUGUCAAACAUCUGUCAUUUAACAUAUUUUAAUUAUUUAUAUAUCAUUUUAAUAAUUUAGAAAAUCUAUUUUCAAAAUUAAAAAAUAAAAAAUGUUAUUUUUAGAAAAUAUUAUUAAAUAAAAUAAAAAAGAAUUGUUUUUAAAAAUUCUUUUCUUCCCCUUCAUCAUAUUCACCAUUAAACCCAACAAAAUCAAAAGAAAAACAUUAAACAUUCAUCAUCAGUCCAAUUCUUUUUUCUAAUCAAUAUUCUAUAUGAUUUUUAAUUCAACAGAUGGAGGUUUUACUACAUUGAAAUGCGCCUGAUGAUCUUGUUAAAGAUCUUAUAGAUUUAACAUCAACAACUUGAAAUAUUUGUUCUUUGCUAUAAUUUGGCUUUGGCACACGACUUCCUUUUGUAACUGCGAAGGCGGCUCCGUUUUCAAAAGCAUCUUUUACCGAAUGAAAUUCCCAUUUGUCUUCAUUUGUAUGAUCAAUUUUUCUCCAUGUUACCUAAACACAUUAUAUAAUUAGAAAAGGAAAGUUUCGAAAAAGUGUGUUAAUUUGUUUUAAAGUGAAACAAAUAUAUUUUAUAUACAUAAACUUAUAUUCAUUAGUCAUUAAUUAGUUUAAAUUAAUGGAUUUGCUAAAUAAGCUUACCUCUUUACUCCCAACUUUAGGCGCUAUGAAGAGAUUAGAUUCACUUUUGAGGCUAGGCCCCAUGCUUCCGCCGAUGGCAUAUUGCAUCCAUCCUAAGUAAAGAUUGUUGGCUACAUGUGCAUAUCCGUGACGAAUCCUGAAAUGUUAUUUUACCGAUAUUUUUUUUUUAAUGUUGACUAAGAAAUUC